AUUGAACGCUGGCGGCAGGCCUAACACAUGCAAGUCGAACGAGUGGCGGACGGGUGAGGAAUGUCUGGGAAACUGCCUGACGGAGGGGGAUAACUACUGGAAACGGUAGCUAAUAACGCAUACCAUCAUAUGUGCCCAGAGGGGAUUAGCUAGUUGGUGGGGUAAAGGCUCACAAAGGCGACGAUCCCUAGCUGGUCUGAGAGGAUGACCGGCCACACUGGAACUGAGACACGGUCCAGACUCCUACGGGAGGCAGCAGUAGGGAAUAUUGGGCAAUGGGCGCAAGCCUGAUGCAGCCACGCCGCGUGUAUGAAGAAGGUUUUCGGGUUGUAAAGUACUUUCAGCAGGGAGGCGUUACCCACAGAAGAAGCACCGGCUAACUCCGUGCCAGCAGCCGCGGUAAUUC
rnacentral:rRNA from 1 species